rnacentral:rRNA from 1 species
GACGAACGCUGGCGGCGUGCUUAACACAUGCAAGUCGAACGGAAAGGCCCUGCUUUUGUGGGGUGCUCGAGUGGCGAACGGGUGAGUAACACGUGAGUAACCUGCCCUUGACUUUGGGAUAACUUCAGGAAACUGGGGCUAAUACCGGAUAGGAGCUCCUGCUGCAUGGUGGGGGUUGGAAAGUUUCGGCGGUUGGGGAUGGACUCGCGGCUUAUCAGCUUGUUGGUGGGGUAGUGGCUUACCAAGGCUUUGACGGGUAGCCGGCCUGAGAGGGUGACCGGCCACAUUGGGAAUGAGAUACGGCCCAGACUCCUACGGGAGGCAGCAGGGGGGAAUAUUUCACAAUGGGCGGAAGCCUGAUGCAGCAACGCCGCGUGCGGGAUGACGGCCUUCGGGUUGUAAACCGCUUUCGCCUGUGACGAAGCGUGAGUGACGGUAAUGGGUAAAGAAGCACCGGCUAACUACGUG